UUGCAAGUUGGGUCUAUGUGAUUAACAAAAAGAAGAAAAAAAAGUUCAUUUACGUGAUUCAUUGCUUCCACUCUUCAUUUCAUGUAUGGUUUAAAACAAAUCAAUAUUUUUUUCAUGUCAACUUUAUCUUUAUUUCGAGAUUUUGAAUAGAAUUUGAUAACCUCUAAGGUGGCACCGACGAUGGAUCUGGAGUAUGGCUUCUUCGUGGCACGUCUCCUCUUCUUAACGGCCUCUUGAGCAAUGUCCUACAUGUACGUAUGAUCACUAUUAUUAAAACUAAUAUAACUUUUAUAGGAUAAAUGAUUGGAAUAAAAUAAGGUUCAUGACAGUAAUAAAGGCCGACUAUUGAGUAAAAAAUAAUUUUACUUGCAACCAAGAUGCAAUUCUGAAACCAAAAUGAAAUUGGGUUCACAAAGCCGACACUAACCUUCUUAUGUUGCUUCCUAUACAUGGCUGUCCAUGUAAGUUUUGAUGGCUUCAAACGGUUGUGGAAAGUACCUCUUGCAUUUUGAGUUUGAAAAAAGGAAGACCUUCACAAGUCCAUGCAAAAGGUAGUUAAUAAUCAGCAAGAAUAUCCGAAUAUCAACCACUUCAAUAUAGAAUUGAAUGGAAAUUUACCUGAGAAUCAGAACGGAUAAAUCUGAUGCCUUUUCCUGGGUAUAUCUUGGCACCACUAAACCAACAAAGCUCCGUCCUAACAUGCCAACAUAAAAAAAAAUAAGUGCAGGGUUUGGGAAAUUCAAAUUCCAAAUUUUGGCAUUAUGCAAGAAAGUUUAUAGAUAAUGCGAUUUUCAGCAAUGCAAUUUUAAACCAAAUCUUAUACAUCCCCACUUACGAGUUACGAGCUUAUUACAUAAUUAACAAGAUCGAACAACAAUCCCUGUAAAAGCUCAAAUUGCCCAGCCCACUCAAAACAGGCCCAAUUAACAGCCCAAAAUCCUAAUUACCCUAGCCCAAUACAGACCCUAGCCCAAAAUACAAAACAAGCCUGCAGAAACCCUAGUGCAGCAAGUAGCGCCGCAGCAAGUUCCCGCCUCCAGCAGACUCCCCAGGCGCCGCACGUCUCGGGGCCAACCUCCUCUCCACGCGCGCCGUUUGCUCCACGAACACCUGCAAACGUAGACUCAAGGAGUCCGAAGGAGAAGGAACAGCAAAGAAAACAAUUAUAUUUGUUUUAUUUUUUCUUUUUUCGGGCUAUAUAAAGCCAUAUUCUGUAAAGAGAAGGGGAGCGAGAAAAAACCCUGUAAAAAAAAUCAAAGAGCAAUACACAUGCAGUUUUUUUUAGGUGCUUUUCUCCAUUUUCUUUUUCGAUUUCAAUUUUUUUACCAAAAGAAAAUAAAAAAAUAAAAGGGUGCUUACCUGAUUUCGUGCACUGGAGCCGAGCACCGGUCGCGGUGGUUCAUGGCCGUCGACGGCGGCGUCAUGGCGAAGGAAUUUUUUUUCCCCACUGUUUGUUGUUUUAAAACAAAAAAUGAAGCAGAAACGUUUUUUUUUGAAAGAAAAUUUUGGUUUUAAUUCUAUAAGCAAAACGGCGCCGUUUAGGUGGCCAUGACCCGCGCGGUGACCCGACCCGGAGGGGAGGAUCCGCGCGUUCUGGCCUUGAAUGGGAAAUUUUCUAAUUUAGUCCCUUCUUUUUGCGACGUACUUCAAUUAAACUCAUUUUGUUUUUUUUUUAAAUUAACUGCAUCUUUCAUUUCUGUUUCAAUUCGGUCCCUCGCUGCGCAGCGUUUUGGGGGUGGGAUUAAUUUCCCUUUUAGUCCCCCAUAGUUGUUCGCGUGUUCAAUUUUGUUCUUUUUUAUUUAUUUUCGAAUCUACCCGUUUUUUUUGUUUUUAAGUUCAAUUUAGUCCAUUUUUAGCUAUUUUUUUAUUUUUUUAAUGUUUAUCAUUAUACCAUUAUUUAUUAUCAUGGUUAUUAUUGUUAUUUCCAUAUUCAUACACGCAUUGUUUUUAUAUAAUAUAUAUAUGCAUGUUUUUAUAUAGUAUACUCUCAUGGUUUUUUUUAUAAUAUAUAUAUGUAUCUUUUUAUGUAGUAUAUGUAUACCUGUAUAUAUUUUAUACAUUUUUUUUAUUUUAUUUCUUAACUUCUAUAUACAUAUUUAUACUUUUAUAUUUUAGUUUCAAUUUUUUUUUACUUUUAUAAGUAUGUAUUUACGUAUAUUUCCAUAUAUGUUUUUAUAUAUUAUUCUUCAUUUUUUACAAAUAUAUAUACAUAAAUACACACACAUUUUAGAAUAUACAUAUAUAAUUUAAAUUAAAGUAUUUGUUUCAUGUUAUACAUUAACUUUUUAACAUGCCUUUUAAAUAUAUAUAUAUUUUGGUUGUGUCAAAGCAUUAAAAUCAUCAUAUUUUACAAAUUUCCAAAAUAUUUGGCAUUCAUAAUUCUCGAGAAAGAUCGUGUCCUAACUUACUGGAUUGCGAUUAUUUUUCGAUGAAUUUAGAAAGCCAAGUAUUUGUUUUGCAAUAAAUUCACAAAUUUCAAAUAAAAGUUUAUUUUCGGGAAUUCAAAAAUGUUGGGUCCUAACUUACUGGUCAUGACAUUUUAUUAUCCCGAAAUAAUAGAUUAGGUUAAACUAUAUUAUCUAAAAGAUGGAUAUUUGAUUUAGUGGUUGGAUAAUAUCUCAAAAAUAUGGCUCCAAGUUCUUCUUAGUCAUCUCUUAAUAUUUCUUGGAAUUAUUUGAAAAACUUUUGUACACUAAUUUAGACAAAUUUUUUGUACCUAUCUGCUCAAAACUCUUUGCAUAAAUUGAGGAUUCAGUACAAUUUGAUCAUUUUUUAUCCUCAUACUUUUAGAAUUUAAAAAUUUUAGUCUUGACUAAAUAAUAAUUAUUAAAUUCAUUAAGUUAAAUUUUGUUAUUUUCAAAAUUUGAUGCGUCAAAUAUAUUUUUGUGUGUAUGUGUUAGCUAGCUUGUUAUUUCCACAUAUUACUAUAAAAAAAAUCAGUUAAUAGAUUCAACGAUUACAAUUUGCAUUAAGCCUAAAAUUUCAAAAUUUAAAAAAAUAUAGUGGCUAAGAAUAAUCCACUUAAAAAACAUGGACUAAAUCUAUAAUUUUAGGCAUAGAAAAAGGCUAAUAGCAUAAUUUAACUAAACAGAUUUAGAUGCUACCAUUUAGUUAGACUAAAAUUUCAAAAUUGAAGUAUAGGUACUAAAUUCAUAACUUACACAAAGUACAUGGCCUAAUAGCAGAAUUUGACCUUUAAUAUAUAUACACAAUAUGAUUGGAUAAAAAAUCUCAAUUCUCAAAUGUCAGUAUCAUUACCAUCAGUUCUUGGAAGCUUUGGAUUUUGUAGGUACAAAAUUAAGCAUAUAAUAUCUGCAUGUAAAAUUGUGAUUACGACAUUCUUGUUAACAAGGAAAAAGAACGAAAACGUUAUGAUAUGCAUGUGUAUAUGUGUAUAUAUAUAUAUAAACUUUAAAUGAUAUAUAUGUGUGUGGGAGAGAGAUUAUAUAUAUAUAUGUUUAAGAUUGGUUCAGAUUACAUAAUUCAAUUAUAGAGUGGGAAAAUUUAUUUCAAUUUUAAAUUAGUUGGCAUCAUCGUUAUUAUAAAAAAAACAUAAUUUUAAGAAAAUAAUAAAAUUUAGUUUUUUUUUUUUUGUCUUUUUUCUUUACUUAACUGGGUUUAUGUUGGUUGAUUGAGUCCUCAAUCUUUUAAAAUAGACAUCUCAAUUGAGUGAAUUGAGUUGGUUUUGGAUUGAGUUAAAUUUAAAUCGGUUUAAUUCAAAGUUUACUUUUUUUUUUGAGUCAUCGAGGAUUUGGAUUAUUUCAAUUUCAAGUUAUUCCGUAUUAAGAUUAUUCGAGUUUACCAAUCAAGAUUCCAGAUCGUGUCAUUUAAAGUCUGUAUCAUUUUGAAUUUGAAACUCAAGUUCGAGUCAUUUCAAGUUGAGAUUCAAAUAAUUGUUGGUUUGGAUUAUUUCAGGUUUGAGUGAUUCAAGUUCAAAUCAUUCAUUGUUGGGUUAUUUUUAAGCUUGGGUUAGAUAAAUUUGGAUUAUUGACUUUUUAUAGUUUAAUCAAAUUAGAUUGAGUUAGAAUUCGAAGCAACGAAAAAUUGAAGUAAAUGCUUAAUUUUCAUUUUGAUUUUAUUUUUGGGUUUAAAAAGAAAAAAGGGGGGGGAGAAUUGAGACUUAAAUAUCCUUUAAAAAAAUACGAUCCAAAAAAUUUGCUUCAUUUAUAUUCAAUUUGAUACUUAAGUUUUUUUAUAUCUCAUUUAAGUAACUAUAUUUUCUUACAAGAGCACAAGUAUCACACAUUACAUGAUAACUUUUGGUUUAAGUACCAAAUUGAAUAUUAAAAUUAAAUUGUGAUAGUAAAUGAUAUAUUAUCCCAUUAAUAAAUGAUUAAAUAUAUGUACAUGUGUGUGAUCGGAGAAAACAUCUUUUUCUCAAAUGUCAGCAUCAUUACCAGAAUUUAAUGGAAGUUUUGGAUUUUGUAGGUGAAAAGUCAAGCAUUAUAAUAUGGAUUAGUAUCUGGUAGAGGUGUUCAUGGCCGGGCGGCCCGGCUCGACCCGACGGCCCACCCGAAAUAUAGGAAGGUUCGGGUAAAAAUAUAGGCCCGAAAUAUGGGUUUGGGCAAAAAAAUGAGGCCCGUUUAAAAAAUGGGUCGGGCCUCAGGCACAAUUUUUUGGUCCGGGCCUGGCCCGGCCCGAAUAUAUAAUAAAAAAUAUUUUUUAUAUUUUUUAAAUUUUAAAAAUAUAUUUUUUAAAUUGGUGUUUAUUUUAAAAAAUGGGCCGGGCCGGGCUCGGGCCUAAGAAUUUUUUCUCGGGCCGUGCCUGGACAAAAUUUCAGGUCCAUAUUUCGGGCCGGGCCCGAACCUAGUAUGCGGGCCAAAAUUUUUUAUGGACCUAGCCCGAACCCGGCCCGGCUCCGCCCAUGAACACCUCUAGUAUCUGGUAUUUGGUGGUUUGUUGUUUUUAUAAACAUUCUUAUUGUGAGUUUAGAUGGGUAGUAUAGUGCGGUGUGUUUAAUUUAUUUUUUGAUUUAUAUUACAAUAUCUAAUUUCACCGUCAUCGUUGUUUUUCCACUAACCGUGAGUAAACACAACACUUAUCUAAACAUAUAUACCUUUAAAAAAAUUGUUAUGUAUUUUUUUUAUAUAUUUUAUGAAUUUAAAAACUUUAUUGAUAGUUUACUAAAAUUUUCUCUUAUAAAAAAUAGGGAUUAUGACGUUAUUAUUUGUUUUUUUAGAGAAAAUAAAAGUUAAAAUAAUAUAUAAUAUUAUUUAUAUAAACUUAUCUACAUGAAGUUAAAAAAGAAUAUUUGACAGCUUUGUAACUUUGUUAAGGUUCAACGUAAAAGAAUAAUCCCAAUUGUAAUUUAAAUAAAUCUGAUUAAUUAUAAUUAUAAUUAAUUAGUAUAAAAAAUAAUCGGAUUCAAAACCGAAUAUAUCUAGAUUUAGACCCUAAUAUAUUUGAGUAGAAUUUAUGAAUGACGAAAUUUGAGUCACAAUAAAUUUAAAUAAUCUUCUUCCCAUAUUAUUAAAAAUAUUCAAUAAUAUGUUUUGUAAUAAAUAUUUAAAUUUUUUAUUUUAAUAAUGUGUAAAGAAGAUUAUUUAAAAUUAUUAUUUUAAAAUUUAUUAUUAAAAUAAAAUUAAAAUAUUAAGCAAUUUAUUAAAAUAAUAAAUUAUAUUAACAAUUUAUUAUAUUUAUUAUUAAAAUAUUAUUAUUGAAUAUUUUUAAUAAUAUGUGAAGAAGAUUAUUUAAAUUUUUUUUUUAAAUUUAUUAUUAAAAUAAAAUUGAAAUAUUAAGUAAUUUAUUAAAAUAAUAAUUUAUAUUAAUAAUUUAUUAUAUUUGGUAAGUCUUCAAAAAUUAGAAAUAGUAAAACAUAAUAUUAAUUGUGCAGUAGCUUGCGCGGCUAGUAAAUUGCUAUCAAAUUCACUUGUACAUUGAGAAUAGAAUGAUAUAACUGGACAAGAGUAGAAAAAUAUUUUUAUUUCUUUUUAAAUAAGUAUAAAACAUAUAAAAAUAAAUAAAUAAAUUGAUAAUAUUUAUUUGAUCAAAUUAUUCGAAUUAAUAUUUAAUAUAUAAUAGUCUAAUACAUAUAAUAUAUAAUAUUAUUUAUUAAAUUCAAUUAAUUACCUAAUUUUAAACUGAAUUGAUAGUUAACUAAAAUUUAAAAAAAAAAUUUAAACAACCUCCGACCAAAUUAAAUCGAUUUAAUAAAGUCAACAGAUAAAAUAAGACCAAGGCAACUUUCUCCAUUGACCGUCUGCCAUUUGCUAGCUUUAACUAAUUCUAUACACCUUUAUUCACAUGGGUUAACCCCACAAAAGUCAUUCAUGAUUACCAUAUGAAUCAUCUACUGCCUUUGGUGGAGCAUCAACUGUUGGAUCAAUUUGCUAUGAUGGUGAGUCUUUUGUCCCAUCUCAUUAUAUCAUGGGCGGAGUUAAAAAAAUUUUUUUGAGGGGUUGGAAUAAAAUUAUAUAUUUUUAUAAUAGUAAAAGUAAAAUUUUAUUAUUUUUAUAGUUUAUAUAUUUAUAAUUUUUAAAGGAUUAAAGCGAUUUUCUCAUUCUUGAGGGGCUAAAGUAUAAUUUUAUCAUAUAUUAAUUUAAAAAAUUUUAAAUUAUAAAAAGAGAUGAAAUUUUCUAUUUUAGGGGAUCGGGACCCUUGUCAGCCCCUUUAGCUCCUCCCCUCCAUUAUAUAUCUCUCUUUUUUUUUUUUAAUGUAAAAAGAGACUAAAAUAUCUCAUCCCAUUAUAUAUCACUCACUCUUCUUGCAUGUUAUAUCCUCCAUAGUCCAUAAAUAUUAACUGCAAUGGUCCCACUAGACUUGCUCAUGGGUUAGGCAGCCCGACUCGAAGGCCCACCCGAAAUGUGAGAGGAUUUGAGUAAAAAUAUAAGCUUAAAAAAUAGGCUUAGGCAAAAAAAUAAGGUUUGUUUUAAAAAUGGGUUGGGCCUCGGGUAAGACAUUGUUGGUCCGAGCCCAGGCCGGCCCAAAUUCACUAAAUGCCAAAAAAAAUCUGCUAUUUGUUUCUGUUAUUUUAAUGAUAUUUUUUUGUUGUUUUCUCCAUAUUUUACUACCAUUUCACUAUUAUAUUGCUAUUAUUUUAUCAUUAUUUGAAUAUUGUAUAACACUUAUUUUAUUGUUAAUUUUGUUAUUAUUUUAAAGACAAUUUCUUGUUAAAUUGCAUCUAUAUUAAUAUUAUUUAAGUAUAUUUUUUUUUAAUUAUUUCCAAUUUAUUCAGAAAUAUUUAUUUUAAUGUUUUUAAUAUUUUUGAUGUAUUUUAAUUUUGGUAUUUAUCCCUUUACUAUACCAUAAAAGAUGUUUUCAUCAAAGUAAAUAAUAACUAAAACGUGGCAUAUAACUCAAACACGUGUCUAAAGCUACUUAACACGGUCUAUUAACACGUUAAAAGUUCAAAAAUAUAUAUAAUACUUUAAACACAAUCAUAACAUGAGAAAAUGAUACCAAUAUGACAUAAUUUUUUUGCUAUAGGCAGAACACAAUUUCAUUUAAGAUAACCUAAUAAUUUGCAAAUACUACUCAUUAAACACAUAAAUCAUCAAUUAUAGUCACCUAAAACAUUUAACUAAUUAUGUUCAAUUUGCCCAUUCCAGGAAUGGUAAUAGUUAAGCAAAGAUAUUACUUGUUAGACUGAUUGAUUUUUACACUGCAGUUCCAUGUUUUGCCUUGGAAUGAGAUUGCAAGGCCAUUUCAGAGCCAAAUGACCUGAACAAAAUUUUCAAGCAAGAAAUGUUAAUCCAAAUUUAAACAAAAAUACAUUUAAUCCAUGUACUUGGCAACUUUCCCCAUUUUAUUCCCCGAACUUCUUUUUCAUUCAUAUUAGUAUCAAAACUUGGUAGCUUUUUUCAAUUUAGUCCCUAAACUUGGAUACACUAUGAGAUCGUGUCAUGUCAUCAUGCCUUUAUGGAAACAAGUUCAGGGCCCAAAUUGAGAAAAGUUGUCAAGCUCCAAGACUUGAGUAGGCCAAAAAAAUGUUAAGGACCAAGUUGGGAAAAACUGCCAAGUUCAAAGGACUAAAUGUUUCUUUAUCCCGACGUAAUAAGGAACUGACCUGCCGCAAGACUUGCAAGGGAAUGAUGAACCGCCUGGCUUUGCGCUCUGAUUCACUUGACCGGUGGUAGCCGAUGCCUUUCUGGCUUCCUUUGAAGGAUGAGGAGUUGCUGUAUGUCCACCCACUUUCUUGCCAUCUGCAUCAAGGAUUUUGCAACUCUUUAAGAAUAUAAAUUUUAAUUAGAAAAAAAAAAAAACUGUCAAUUGAAGAAUGAGCAAGAACAGAGAAUUAGAAAUAGGCGCAAGCAAACAUUUUAUAACUAAUCAAAUUUGUAUUAUGAUCCCUCAUUAAUCAUUUAUCUAUCAACAUCUCAAGAAGAGUACAUAUAGGAGGGGAAAUGUACCUGUCUUUUGGGGAGUGACUAGCUUUGCCUUCUUUUCUGGUGCAGGGGUCUUUGUAGCUGACUCUGCAGAUCUCUUCUUGCUCGGUCCGGCCUAAGGAAAAUCAAUCACCAGUAAUUAGAAUGAGAAAGUACAGACUCAGCUGAAGCCCCUGAAAGUCAUGAAUGGAUAAGCUUAAAGCAUGUCUUUACCUUUUCCGUCUCAGGUGUCUCAGGAUCCUCAUCUGAACUUUCUUCUUCACUAUCAUCCUCAUCACUGUCAGUAUCAUUGUCACUUUCAUUCUCACCAUUUACUAACAUGCCAGGUUCCUAAAAUGAUAACUCAGAAUCAACAAUAAUUAGACAUAGUAUUCCGUCAAAAACUGGAUUGUAAAAACAACAACAAAAACAGCUUUAUCAAAUUAAAAACAAUGGCUCCUACCAAGACCAAGCUAGAAAUGGCAAACAUUUUGUUCAGCAAAUUUUCAUGUGAAGAAGAAAAAACAAUUAGAUUCAAGGAUAGCUGUGUCCCUAAUGUACAUAAAUCAUUAAAUGCUAAACACUCUAUUCAACUAUUCAUAAUUAUGAUUCACCAUAAAAUCGUAAAGAGCAUAUCAGCUGGUUAUGAUAAUAAUUGCUAGACAUCUACCUGAUCCUCACUGGACAUUUCAUCCUCGGUAGAAGUAUCAUCUUCAUCCUCGUCAUCACAGCUAUCCUCUGCUUUUUUUGGUUCCACAAUCUUAACCUGUUUUGAUGUGGUAGGAUCAGAUAUUGUAGCAUGAGGCUUUAUGGGAUUAACUAUGGGUUCAAGAAGCUCCUCUUCAGACUCAGAACCUGUAAAGUAAAAAUUGAAAUAUGAUUUACAUAUUUAAAUAUUACUAACAGAUACCAAAUAAAUAUAAAACGCUAGCAGAAUGACUUACCACUACCUUGAGGCGUAUCAACAUAAUACCCAGUGAAAUAAACACUGCCAUUCUUCCAGGUAUGGGACAACUCAAAUUUACUAUGCAAUGCCAAAUCCAAUGGCAUCUGGGGGAAUUUAUCAUGGGAAAGUGUUCCGAUUACAAACUUUUCAUUAUUGAAUUUGAGAUAGAUGCAAGCAGUUCCAUUUCCUUUUUCUUUUUUGUUAUCACUGGUCACCUCACCAAGGGCAGCCUGUGAGUUAUAUAUAGCGACAAAAUUAAUAGAUAUAUAACUACUGUCAGAACACAAUAACUAUGGAAAUCAGAGUUCCUUAAUAUAACCUGUGAAAUAUGCAAAAUCCUACUGCCAUCAUCCUCUAAUUCAACCUCAAAGCUCUGUCCACUUUUAACCUCAGCACCUACAUAUAUAUUGCCAAAUUUCAGAGGAUGACAGGUUUUCAUGAUUCAUUAGACCCAAGAACAUUGAAGGAUGCAAUGGCUAAUUGAAUUGAAAUCGCAAAUAUCAAUCGAAAAAUAUUUGACAAGCAACAAUCAUUGAGAUGUAAAAAACUACAAUAACACCAAAUGAUGAAACGCAAUACCAAUAGUAGUAGCAGAUAGAACAUAUUCUAAAAGGUUUCCAACAGGGUAAUCCAAUUCAAAACAUCAAAUUAUAAAAGAUUAUUUCAAACCCUUAAUAGUGUCCAAAGAAAUUACGAUUUAACAAGGAAAAAAAGUUAUCAUUUUCUUUUUUUGCCCUUCAAUAUUCAUAAUGAGUAAAUUAUAGGGAAAUUUUACAGAGAAAUGCUUGAAAAAAAAUUGUAUAAAAUAAGUCAUUUUCCUUUAAUCAGACGUGAAAUGAAACUAAGAAAACAAUUUAAAAGAACAAAAUCAAAAUAAAUACCAAACCUAAAUUCUAAUUCAAAAGAGUGUAUGAAUCUAUCUAGGAGAACAUGUAUAUAUAUAAUUCCAUGCCGCACUACAUACAAAAUCAAAGACAAAAAUUAUCAUAUUAAAAGAAAAAUAAUUAGCAAAAGAAACAGCCUGAAGCAUCAAAUCCUUACUAGAAGACAGCAUCUGAACAUACGAUUAGCAUUUUUCAAAGAAACGUAAAUAAUCGAUAAUCAAACAUAAAUAAUCAUUCAUUUCAACCAAUUUCGCAAUUGAAACAAAGAUUUAAAGAAUAAAUUUUAACUGAAAGAAAAGAUUGUAAGAUGUAAAGGAGAAUUUACCCCAAAAUUCCAUUGAAAAUGUGAGAGAAUUUAAGGUUUAGGGUUUUGUUUUUAAGGAAUGAAAAUUCAACAGUCAACGACGUAGAGAAAGUGUAAUUUCUCCGUUAGUGCGUUGACGUGUUUUUCUUUUCUUUUUUCGGAAUAGGAGUGAGGAGCGGGGCGAGUCUGUGAUUUGGUGUUUCGCGGAGCAGCGUAAAGGAUUCUGAUAUGGGCGUACUUUUGGGUAAUCAAGGAGUUUAGGCUUUUCUGAAAGAUUCUGACGGCCCAAAUUUCUUGGAUCAUGUAUUUAUUAAACCCAAAAAUGGAAUCAAAAUAAAUACCAAGCAAUUACGUUUAUUAACUCGAAUUAGAAAUAAUUUAAAUUUAAAUUUAAAUUUAUUUGUAUUUUAAACAACAAAAAAUAAAUAAAUUCUGAAUUAAAUUAAAUUAAAUUAAAUUUAUUUAACCCGAAAUCAACUCAAUCCGAUGAAGCAGUAAGAAUAAUCAAAAAGUUGUUAUUUUAUUAAAUUCAUAUUUUAUUGAGAAAAAGAGAAUUAGUUUAUAAAUAUAAAAUCGAAUCUUAAAUCUCAUAUCAAUUAAAUUAAAAUUUCUACAAAUUUUAUGACUAAGUCAAUAACGUGGUUGGCUAAAUUCAUUUAUGUAUCUCUUGGUUAUAUUUCAAAAGGUUUAAUAUAUCAUUUGGUACCCGAGUUUGACACUUUUUUUUCUAAUGUGGUACUUAUAUUAUUGGUCUAAUGUGGUACAUGUAUUUGGCAAAAGUUAUAUGUUAUGGUAGUUAAAGGUAACGUUGUUAACAUUUUAAUUUAUAAUGUAAGUGAAAUAAUUCAAUUCAAACCGAUGAAAUCAAUGAUCCAAAAUUUUAACAUUUAAUUUUAAGUUUUACGCUGAUUGAUUCUUAGUCCAAUUAGUAUAAAUAUUGUUAUCAAUGCAAGAGGACGUGAGUUCGAGUACAUUGAAGCGCAUUAUUCUUCUAUUUAUGGGUUGAGGACGAGCUAUGAGUAAUUUUAGACAUCGUGUCAAAAAGAACAGCCAUGAUCAAAACUUAUGAUGAAAUUGUUUUGAAAAAAAAAAUUAAAUUUUACAUUUCAUGUUCGAGUUUUUUACUCUUUAUAAAUUACGUAUGAUUUUUAAAAAAUAUUUAUUGUGACUCAAGUUUCAUCAUGCAUAAGUUCUACUCAGAUAUAGUACGAUCUAAAUCUAGAUAUAUUCGAUUAUCAAUCCGAUUACAUUUUAUACUAAUUAAUUAUAAUUAUAAUUAAUCAGAUUUAUUUAAAUUGCAAUUGGGAUUAUUCUUCUACGUUGAACCUUAACAAAGUUACAAAGCUGUCAAAUAUUAUUUUUUAACUUCAUGUAGGUAAGUUCAUAUAAAUAUUAUAUAUUAUUUAAACUUUUAUUUUUUCAAAAAAAAAACAAAUAAUAACGUCAUAAUCCUAAUAUUUUAUAAGAAAAUUUUUUGGUAAACUGUAGUAAAAUUUUUAAAUUCAUAAAAUAUUUAAAAAAUUACAUAUAACAAUUUUUUAAAAGUGUGUUUAAAUAGAUAUUACUUUUACGGUAAAAAUAGAUAUUAUAACAAUACUAUAACCUAAGAUAAAAACUAAGCUAAACAUACAAUAUUGUACCGCACCGUACCGCACAUUACCUCAAUAACUAUCCAAACCCACUAAGAAUGUUUACAAAAAGAACACACCACCAAAUACGGUAUACUAAUCCAAUAUUAUAAUGCUUAACUUUUUCACCUACAAAAUCCAAAACUUCCAUUAAAUGCUGGGAAUGAUGCCGACAUUUGAGAAAAAUAUGUUUUCUCCAAUCACGCACGUCUACAUAUAUUUAUUCAUUUAUUAAUGGGUUAAUAUAUCAUUUAAUAUUAAAGUUUGAUUUUGAUGUUCGAUUUGGUACUUAAAUUUAAUUUUAGUGUUCGAUUUGGUACUUAAACGAAAAGUUAUCAUGUAAUAUUUGAUACUUGUGCUCUCGUAAAAAAACAUAGAUACUUAAAUGAGAUAUCAAAAAAAUUUAAGUAUCAAAUUGAAUAUAAAUGAAGCAAAUUUCUUGGAUCGUGCUUUUUUGAAAGGAUCUUAAGGCUCAAUUUUCCCCCUCAUUUUUUUUCUUUUUAAACCCAAAAAUGAAAUCAAUAUGAAAAUUAAGCAUUUAUGUAAAUUUUUUAUUGAUUCGAAUUCUAACUCUAUCUAAUUUGAUUCAACCAUAAAAAGUCAACAAUCCAAAUUUGUCUAACCCGAGCUUAAAAAUAACCCAACAAUAAAUGGUUUGAACUUGAAAUGACCUUGAAUCACUCAAACUUGAAAUAAUCCAAACCAACAAUUACUUGAAUCUCAACUUGAAAUGACUCGAACCUGAGUUUCAAAUUCAAAAUGAUACAAACUUUAAAUGACACGAUUUAGAAUCUUGAUUGGUAAACUUGAAAUAUCCUAAUACGGAAUAACCUGAAAUUGGAAUAAUCCAAACCUUCGAUGACUCAAAAAAAAAAAGGUAAACUUUGAAUUAAACCGAUUUGAAUUUAAUUCAAUCCAAAACCAACUCAAUUCACUCAAUUGAAAGGUUUAUUUUAAAAGAUCGAGGACUCAAUCAACCAACAUAAACCAAAUUAAGUAAAGAAAAAAGACAAAAAAAAAACUAAUUUUUUUAAACUAUUAUUUUUUUUAUUACAAUAACGACCAUGCCAAUUAAUUUAAAAUUCACAUAAAUUUUACCACUCAGUAAUUGAAUUAUGUAAUCUGAAUUAAUCUUAAAUUUCAGGCUUAAUGCAAACAGUACUCGUUGAAAUUUAUUAACUGAUUUUUUUAUAGUAAUAUGUGGAAAGAACAAGCUAACAUAGCAUUACACGUACAAUAGUAUGUUUGACGCAUCAAAUAUUGAAAAUAACAGAACUUAAUGAAUUUAAUACUUAUUGUUUGGUUAGGACUAAAAUUUUUAAAUUCUGAAAGUAUGAGAAUAAAAAAGGAUGAAAUUGUACUAAAUCCGCAAUUUAUGGAAAGAGUUUUGAGUAGAUAGGUACAAAAAUUCGUCUAAAUUAGUGUAUAAUAGUUUUUUAAAUAAUUCCAAGAAGUAUUAAGAGAUGACUAAGAAGAACUUGGAGCCAUAUUUUUGAGAUAUUGUCCAACCACUAAAUCUAACAUCCAUCUUUCAGAUAAUAUAAUUUAACCUAAUAAUAUACACCCAUAACUAAAAAAAUUUCUCAAUCAUUUAAAAGUUAAAUUAUGCUAUAAAAUUGUAUAAAUAUUAUAAGGGAUUUUGUUUGCAUUUUGCUUUCUCUACUAUAAAAAAAUUAAUUAAUUUUUAUACGUUAGAUCAAAGAGUAAACUGGCUCUUCUGUUAAAAAUCUCAUCUAUUUCUACAUCUAAAAAUUGGACCUUGUACAUUAGCAUAAGUUACAGUUUGGUUAUUUUGUCAAUCACUUUAAUUUUUAAUAGAAAAGAUCGGUUUGCUCUUUGAUCUGAUUUAUAAGAACUAGUUUAUUCAUUUUUUUAAAUAAAGAUGAUAAAAUGUGUCGGGAUGAUUAUCAUCAUUGGCCCAAACCCGUCUCAAGUUUGGGCCUGGGCCAGAUCCUAAUGAGCUUGUAGGCUAAGUACGCAGGUUAACGAAUAAGACUUGCUCUCUAUACUGCGAGGUUGCAUUUGCAUAAGCUCGGUACCAUGAAGAUACUUACCUAGACUAGAGUAGGAAACAUGUCUAUAUGCAUGGAGCCUACCUAAUUUGUCUUAUCGAUGAAGAGUACCUUAUCGUAUAAAUAGGCAGACCACACCAUCCGAAGGACACACAGAAAUAUAUUUAAGUCCUUUACCACAGUCUUUCUAUUAUUCACAACAAUUAUAAAACAUUAUUCCCAAAGUAAAUAUACAUACACAUAAGAGCACAAAUUAAAAUGAACAAAGGAUUUUUUCCAAAAAUCUGAUCAGUUGAUGCAGCUAUUCAUAACAAGUUUAACAAUUCGAAUUUUAGUGUCUGAAACCAGUGCAAGGUAUUGCUAAGGCCUUUAAGGGAACAUAUUUCCUCAAUGUUAUCCCCAUUCUCUCACUCAUAUCCAAAUCUUCGGGCUUAACCCCGUCAGCCAAACUCCAAUCAAAGCAAUGUAACAAUGACCCGAGUGCCAUCGGGAGCAGUCGAGACGCGAGUGGCACUGCUGGGCACAUCCGACGACCGGACCCGAAAGGAAUAAACUCAAAAUGGUGACCCUUAUAAUCCAUUGUAUUCGGCUCCAAGAACCGUUCCGGUCUGAACUCUGACGGGUUUUCCCACGUUUUCGGGUCUCGUCCGAUGGCCCAAAUGUUCACCAAAACUUGGGUUUCUUUAGGGAUAUGGUAACCCAACAUCUUACAAGAGUCCAUAGCCAUGUGAGGGACUAAGAAAGGGAUUGGUGGGUGAAGUCUUAGGGUUUCUUUGAUUAUUGCUUUGAGAUAUGGUAGGUUUUCGAUGUCUUUUUCUUCAAGGCUCCUCCCAUGGUGGACUAAAUGAUUCCUCAAUUCAGCUUGGACUGUUUUUAAUGUCCUUGGAUUGUGUAGAAGCUCAGCCAUUGCCCAUUCUAUAGUGCUUGUUGUUGUAUCAGUUCCUGCAGUGAACAUCUCCUGGCAUAUACCAUAAAAAAAAGUUUAGGGGCAAAAGGAAAAAUUUUGUUUAAGAAAAUACUUAUAUUAAAUAUUUGAUAUUAAUAAGGAUUAAAAGUGUUAUUAUUCCAAUUAACUAGUGCACAAUUAGGACAUCACACCCAUAUAUAUAUAUAACUUAAUUUUAAUUAUUAUAAAAAUAUAUAACUUAAUUUCGAUUCCAAAUUUUUUUGUUCUCCCUUACAAUUAAUUUUGUCCAUGCGAAGGGAGGGGUAGGUAGUAGAGUUGGCCCCUCCAAAAAAUUGUUUAUAUAAUCCCAGAAAUCACAUGUUAGUAUAAAGAUAGAAUUACAUUUUGUCUCCCCAAAAAAAUUAUUCCUUUUUAGCCCCCUAAAACAAAUUCCUAGCUUAAAAGAAAAAUGUAUUAAAAGGAGUCAAUUAGUGUUAACUUACAAAAACAAUGACAUUGAUGGUUCGAGAGGAAAAUUUAGAAGGUUCUUCCAAGCCAUCACCACGAAACUCCAAAAGAACAUCCAAAAAGUCCUUUCUUUUCCCUUCAUUUUCUCCAUAUCCAAUGUUUUUCAUCCUUUCUUUAAUGAAUCCUCCGGCAAUUUCAAAUGCUUUUUUAACAUGAAAUUGGGUUUUCCUCCUUAUACCUUGCGGGUCGACCCGUUUUAGAAUAGGUAAAAAAUCUGCGACAUUCGGUUUACCGGCUAACUCCAUCACUUUCCCUGCAUGGUAAAAAAAUUUUACACCUUUUUCCGAUUUAUGAUCCAAUAAAUCUUUUGAGAAUAUGAGGUUUCCUAUCAAGUUGAACGCCAUUAAGAAAACGAACCGCCCCACAUCAAUUGGGUUCGUGCCAUUUGCACUUGCAUCUUGUACGGAUUGCAACAUUUGAUCGAUGCACCGUCUUCGAACUCCUCGCAUGGCAUCAAGACGGCUUGUCACGAAAAAUUCUGUGGUACACAAUCGUCGCAGCAUCCGCCAGUGUGGGCCGUACUGGGAUGUUAUAAGGGAUCCCUCAUGGCCGAAAUCUCCUUUCAUGGCUUCGUAAAUCUUCCUGCCAGCUAACACCACGUCAUGGUUCUUGAACAUCUCACGAGCCACCUCGUUGGACGAGAUGACCACGGUGCUCAUUGAACCUAACCAUAAAGUCAUGAUGGGUCCAUGUCGACAAGCCAACUUGGCAAAAGACACAUGAGGUGGCGCCAACCCUAAUUGAAAUAUAUUGCCAACUACCGGCCACCAUGUUGGUCCAGGUGGAAGUUGACCUAGCUCUUCCAAUCGCCGGUGGCACCGCUCUGUCGUUAUGGCCCAUGCAACCCAUAGCAAAAGUGCUAAACUUAACCCUAAAAUUUCAUACUCCAUUAUACAUAUACAAAUGUGUAUAUAUAUAUUUGUUUAGAUCAUAUAACAAUGGUUUCUCAUAUUAGGGUAAGCACUCUUUAUAAAAGCUUGUAGAUUUAAUUAGAUGACAAAAUCAUGCAGGCCCGUAGGAUGGGAAACUUUUUGAGAGGAAUCUUCAUUGCAAAAUUAUUUAAAAUAUAAUAAUAUUUUGGAGUUAAUUAAUUAAUUUAUUACAUUCCAAGUUGAAAGAAAACAAGAACACCUAAUCUUGAUUUGAUAAGUAUCUCUUCUAAAAUUCUAAAAUUUAAUUUUGGUCUAAUGCUGAUUUUAGUCCCUCCACUAUUUUAAAUUUAAUUUCACUAUUGUAAUUUGACGUAAUAUUUUUAGCUGUUGCUAUAAUUAAAAUAUUAAAUUCUCACCCAAAAAUCAUGUUCAUUAUCGAUGAAUAAAAAAUGGAAUAAAGAAAAACUUUGUUUUAUUGGUGCCCCCAAUUCUAUCCAUUCAGAUAAAGUUAAAAUUUUAAAAAUAUUAAAUACAUUGCCUUAAUAUAUUAAAAUAUUUUGACAAAGAAAUUACGUGCGAAUCUGAUAGUUCAAAUCUUAACAACUUGAUGAUAAAAUUUAAUAAUAAUAUUAAAUGUAAUAAUAUUGAUUUAAUGUUAGCUUAUCAGUGUAGAAGGACGUGGAUUCAAGUAUGCUGAAAUAUAUAUAUAUAUUUUUUGACUAGACGCUGAAAUAUAUUAUCUUUCUAUUUAUGGGUUGAAAAAGGACUAUGUGUAAUUUUAAGUAGGGUAAACUAUCAAAAUAGUCACUUUUGUUUGCCUUAGGUUACAUUUUAGUCACUUGUGUUUGAAAUGUUAUGUUUUAGUCACUUACGUUAUCGUGUUGUAAUAUUUUAGUCACUGAGUGUUAAUUGUCGACAAUGGUGUAACUGUAAGUUGAUGUGGCACGUUAAAUCAUCAUUUCAAACGAAAAUUUUAGGUUAAAUUCUACAAUUGGUCCCUAUAUUUUUUAUUUUCAACAAUUUAAAAUUUUUCUUUUAUGUUCUUCUAACUUUUUUUUCCAUUCUCUUAUGCUUCUUCCUUUAUUUUCCUCCCUUCUUCAUUUCUUUUAACAUAGUUUGUUUAUGCUUUCCAUUUGUAACUAGUCCACAAGCCCGCCUCACUCGAAAAAAUUAAAUUGUUCAAAAAAAUAAAACAUAGAAAAACUACGUUGAAAGAAAUGGAGAAGGGAGGAAAACAAAGGGAGAAGCAUAAGAGAAUGGAAAAGAAAGAAAGUCAAAAAAACAUAAAAGAAAAAAAUUAAAUUGCUCCAAACGAAAAAAUAUGAGGACCGCUUGUAUAAAUUAACCUAGAAUUUUUGUUUGAAAUGAUGAUUUAACGUGCCACAUCAGUUUACUGUUACACCGUUAACAGAAACUAACGGCUCAAUGACUAAAAUGUUACAACAUGAUAACAUAAGUGACUAAAACGUAACAUUUCAAACAUAAGUGACUAAAAUGUAACCUAAGCCAAACAAAAGUGACUAUUUUAGUAGUUUACCCUUUUAAGUGUUGUGUCAAAAAGAGAACUACCAUCAUAUUUUUGUAAAAAAGAAUUGCUUGAUUUUCAGGACCAGAGCUGUAAGGUAAUUAAUUUUUAUUUUAUUUUUUGAAAAAGAAACAUAUAAAUUUAUUUGUGGUCCUUAAAUUUUUUUUUAAAAAACCAUAUAAAUUUGUUUGUGGUCCUUAAAUUUACCAAUAAAUACUUUUUUAGUUAAUAAUUACUAAUUUUUUAUUUCGAUUAAUGGCGAUUUUUAAUCAACAUUUAGUAAUAAAUCUAUUUUAUUUACAUUUAAUUAUGCAAUAUUAAUAAAAAUAAUUGUAAAAUGAAAGUACAAUGACUUGUGCCACAAGUCAAGGAGGAUUAAUUAAUUAAUUUUAAAUAAAUAACAUAAGGGAAAAUCAUAGAGAAAUGAAAUUGAUUGAGAGUGACAUAGUGAUAAUAUCAAUGGAAGGGCCGAUAGGUGUGUAUAAAAAAUUAAUUUUAAUUUUAUAAAAGAAAAGCUGAUUUUGAUUAAAACUAAAUUAUGUCCUCAAUAAUUGUACUUUGUUAAAGUUUAAAAAAUAAUUUAUGUGUUUCAAAAAUUAAAAAUUAUUUAAAAUUCAAUAUUUUCAAUUGGAUGAUUCACAUUGUUAAAUUUUAUAUUCAAAUUUAUUUAAAUGAAAAAUAAAAGCUUUAAUUUUAAUAAAUUUACAUGAAAAUUCGAUUUUUUUCUGUUGUUUUUAAAUUGACUUCUUUCUUUGAUAAAAGUUGGUUCUAUUAUUUUAAAAAUUAUGGUAGUUAUAAUUUUUGAAAAUUUUAAUUUUAUUUUUUUAGUUUAAUUUUUUGUGUAGUGAAUAGAUAAAGUUAAAUUCAUUGAAAUUUAAUAUCAAGCUGCCUCAAACAAUCGGUUUAGCGAUUCUUCGGAUCAUUUAUGGUGUGAAUCACUUCAUUUUAACGGCUUUUGCACCUCAUAUUAGGGGUGACAUUAAAGGAGGAGCUUGCGGAGGCUUCGACCCUUUAAAAGAGAAUUUUCUUUUUUGGUCUUUUAAAAUUUAUCAACUUCUAAGUUAUUAUAUAGGAAAAUUACACUUUAACAUCCAAAAAUAAUAAAAUUUUGAUUUACUCCUUUAAAAAUUAAAAAGAUAUAAGCUAUCAAAAUGGUAAAAUUGCAUGUUAACUAUCAUAAAAAUAUAUAAUUUAAUUUCGUCCCCAUAAAAAUUUUCUAAUUUCACCUUUGCCCCAUAUGGUGUGAACUGCUUCUGUUGUGCUAUUCAACAUCUUGUGUAACUCAAUUAUUAUAACACAAUUCGAUAUCCUUUAAAUAAGGUUUCGAGCUCGAAUUAUGUGGAUGGAGAAAACAACAUUUAGAGUACUUCCUCCAUUGUCCAACCCAAUCAUGUUUGUUAACUCUUAUAAAAAUAUACAAUUUAAUUUCACCUCUAAAAAUAUUUUCUGGUUUCACCCCCCGUAUUGUGUGAACUGCCCCUGUUGUGCUAUUCAACAUAUUGUGUAACUUAAUUGUUAUAACAUAAUUCGAUAUCCUUUAGAUAAGGUUUCGAGUUCGAAUCAUGUGGAUAAAGAAAACAACAUUUAGAGUACUUCUCCCAUUGUCCAACCCAACUCAACUUCGAAUUUAAUUGAAAUUGAAUAUAACUUAAAAACUUUUGACCCAAAAAUAUAUAAGGUAAACUACACUAGUAGUCAGCAACCAACUAUAAGUAUUUUUUUUGUCACAAAAUUAUGAAAAGUUACAAAAUAAUCACCCAACUAUUAGUAAAUUUCUUUUAUGGUCACCCGAACUACUCAAUUUUGUCUCUUUUGGUCACCAACCGACUAAUGUAAAAAUGGAAACACCCAAAAAUCUAAGAUAAUUGGGUGACCAAAAAAAACAAAAUUAAAUAAUUGAAUAAUUGAAUGACCGUUUUGUAACUUUUCAUAAUUGAGUGGCAAUAAAAUAUUAAUAGAUUAUGACUAUUUAAUAACUUUUCAUAAUUGAAAAAAAAAUUACUACAAAUAUAAUUUAUUGAAAUAUAUAUUAGGUGAUAGAUUCAUUUGAAUUGACUCUCAGCAACCCUGAAAAAUGAAAUUUUAUACUUUCAUAAUAGAUAAAAUCAAGUUCUAUUUUAUGCAUUGAUUGAGCUUACAUAAGCUUUUGGUUGUAUGUUUUCUUUCGGUCCCCCAUACUUCAAAUAUUUUUUGCACAAAAAAGAGAUUUCAAGAUUUUGAUCAUAUAAUUAAAUAUAAUUUUUUUUCUUAUCCUAAAAUCAAGUUGAAAGAAAUCAUGUUGUAUAUACAUGAUUAAUUACACUAGACAUCUUUAAAUUUUAAAAUGUUAUAAUUGAGAUGUCAAAUAUUAGUAUCGUAUCAAUCAAGUCCUUCUGAUAGCUUAAUUUUACAAUUUAAAUGUUGAAUAAUAGUUUGGAUCUAAUGUGAAACAAUUUAAAAUAUGUGGACUAAAUUUAAAACACAUCUUUUACCCAUAGCAUGUAUAGCUGGGAUAUAAUGUGUUACAAGAAAAAGAAAUACCCCUUCUAACUUUCAGUGACAUUGUUUUCAAACAGGGAUGAAGUUAAAAUUUUUUUUUAGAGAAGUCCAAAAUUGAAUUGUAACUUUUAAAAGAUUAUAUCAAAAUUUUAUCAUUUUUAGGGGGUCAAUGUGUAAUUUUACAUUUACUAAUUUAAAAUUUUAAAGAUGCUAAAUGAAAAGUUUUCUAUGUUAGGGGGACCAGGGCAGCUGCCAACCCCCUAGGUUCGCCCCUGUUUCAAAUGUUCGUACAUAUUUAAGUUUUAUUUUUUUUAUUUUUUGAAAGAAACCAUAUAAUUUAUUCGUGGUCCUUAAUUUUACUAAUAAUUACUAAUAUUUAAUUUUUAGUUCGUGGACAUUGACUCUUUUUUUUUUUUUUCAUUUUUAGUUCGUGGUCCUUCGAAUUUUGAAAGAAACCAUUGAAAGUUGCAUGUACAUAUAAUGGAAUUCCAAAACUAAAUAAUUUACAAUUUAAAUAUAUAUUUUUUUAUCGUGAAUGAAUUAUUAACAUCAUCAUAUGUAGACAAAUACUUAUAGUUUUGAUGAUGAAAUUAUUAAUGCACAAAAAAAAGGGGAGUAUUAAAAUAGGAUAAAAAUCAUUUUCAUAUUAAUAUUUAUAUGUUUUAUAAGUAAAUUUAAAUAAAAUAUUUCUUUAUUAAAUAAAUUUGGUUCGAAAUAAAUAGAUAGCCCGCCCGUCAAUUGAGCUUGUGUGUAAUAACAAAAAAAAAAAAAACUUCUAUUGAAAUAAAGCUUUAGUUUUGAAAUUGUAAUGUUGUAAAUUACUCUUUUACCCUCACUUAAUCCACCCGCUUAACCCUAGUCAUAGGGGCCAAGUUGAACGCCCACCCAAAAAGUGAAAGAGAUUAGACAAAAAUAUAAACUAAAAAAAUGGAUAUGAGUAAAAAAAACAAGACCUGUUUUUAACCUCAAAUAAAAUUUUUUGACUCAAACCUGACCCGAAUUUGUUUCUUUAUCCAGGCAAAGCUCAAAUUUUAACAUUUUUAUCUGAACCGAAUUUAGAUAAAAUUUUAUGCCCUUAUUUGGGCCGGGCUGAACCCAAACCUAAAAUUCUAUUGAGCCCUCUUCAACAAGGAUGCAAAACAUUAAAAUUUUACACCAAACUUUUUUAAAGCAUUUUGGAAUUUUUAAUGGCAAUGAGAAACUAGUUGAUAUCAAAUCCUAAAUUCGAUCUAUGAACACCCUACCCCUCCCCUUAUUAAAAAUAAUUAAAAUUUAUCAUUUACAUAGGGGCGAAUACAAUGGAGCAGGCCUUAAAUAAUUAAAUUAUAAAUUUAUAUAUGAUAAAUUAGAAUCCCCCCCAAAUUCUAUCUAGUCCCUUCAAAAAUGAGAAAAUCAUAAACUAAUACAUGAUAAGAUUAUAUUUUAAUCUCUCAAAAAUUUAUUUCGAUCCUUCUAAAAGAUUUCUAGAUUCCCCCCUGUUUAGAUACUAUUAGAGGCUAAAUGUUCAAAAAGAGGAUAAAAGCUAAACUUUUCGAGAAUACUCAAAUAAGAGCUUUUCACACGCUUCAACCAGUUUGUAGUAUAAAGUUAGGUAAAUGAUAAUAUGUUUAGAAUAAAACACAUGGCAGUUAUUCCAAAAGAAAAGAAAAAUAAAAACAUAAAUUGAGAUUUGAUAAGCGAUAUUUGAGAAGCCCUUAUUUGACUGUUUUGAAAGGUUUAAUCCUUAUUCAAGCGAUUCAUAAAAAGUUUGGUCCUAUUUUGAACAUUUAGCCUACCCUAGAAGACUAGUUAUUAAAUAUAUAUGUGUAUUCUAUCAUUAAAAGUGUAGGGAACCAUUGGGUUUUCCAAGGCAUCAGAUUCUUACCGAAUGUUUUCCAUCUUCUUGCUCCAAGCUGAUUCCCCGAUUUAAUCUGAAAGGUGAAAGUAUUCUACAUCAUCCUUCUAUCCGUAUUGAGUUCCACCAUUUCCAAACCUCUUAACAAGAACAAAGGCUCCAUCAAUGGUUCUGAGUUUUGAAACCAUCCUAUCAAUACAUAAGAACCAAUAUAAAUGAGGAUCCAAUGAGCUUUUAUUAGAUUUGUCAUGCACACACUUCAUACUAAAUAGAAAUGGAAGUAUUGGAACAAAUGUUUUCAUGGCAUCGGUUUAGAGUUCUCACCUAUGUUGCUCUGAGUCUUGAUUUUUCUUCAACUAUCCAUGUUUGACAUAUAUCUGAACACAAAUACAAGGAUAUGAAAGCAUACUCAUAUAUACUAACACUCGAACUUCCUAACAAGAACACAAGCUCCAGCAAUGGUUUGAGUUCUUGAAACCAUCCUAUCAAUACAUAAGAACCAAAGCAAAUGAGGAUCCAAUGAGCUUUUAUUUGAUUUGUCAUGCAACACUUCAUACUAAAUAGAAAUGUAAGCACUGUAAGAGAUGUUUUCAUAGCAUCGGGUCAGAGUUCUCACCUAUGUUGCUUCGAGUCUUCAUUUUUCUUUAACUAUCCAUGUCUGACAUACAUCUGAACACAAAUACGAUGAUAUGAGUCUCUAAAUACAUGAACAACAAAACAUACCCAUAUAUACUAACACCUGACCGCAAGUAAAACUUAUUCUCACCCUUCUACACCAUCCUUCACGAUCUGCAUUGAAUUCCACCAUUUCCGAACCUCUUAACAAGAAAAAAGGCUCCAUCAAUGGUUUUGAGUUCUUGAAACCAUCCGAUCAAUAAAUAAGAACCAAUGUAAAUGAGGAUCCAAUGAGCUUUUAUUAGAUUUGUCAUACACACGCUUCAUACUAAAUAGAAAUGGAAGUAUUGUAAGAGAUGUUUCAUAGCAUUGGGUUGGAGUUCUCACCUAUGUUGCUCUGAGUCUUCAUUUUUCUUUAACAAUCCGUGUUUGACAUAUAUCCGAACACGAGUAUCAGGAUAUCUCUCUAAAUACAUGAACAACAGAACAUUCCCAUAUAAACAUUAACACCCAUGUGCGAAUAACAUAGGUUCUCACCCUUCUAAUUAUCACAAUCUCGAGACAAACAAUAAUCGAAAUUGUCAGCAAGUCAAGAAAUGGAUCUAUAAAUUUGCAAAUAAUAAAAUUUAUGAUACAUUGUUGACAGUAAUAAGUUUCAUUUAAGACAACUUCCUACUUACUUCUAAUUCUAAUCUAUGAGUAUUAUCAGUGAACUAGAAAUCUCACAGAUGUCAUUUUUGUAAAUCAGUAAUGGUACAUUGCAGCAGCCAUCUUCCAUAGGUGAUGAUUCAAUAAGUUGAUACUAUUUCUAAUGCAUUUAAAUACACUAGAUAUUGACGCCAUAAGAAUUAUGGAUUUACGAUAAAGUUGGCAAGCUGGACUUAUAUCGAGGGUCACAACAACUGGGAAUGCAUUGGAUCAGCUUAUCCUUCCAGUUUGAUCGAUCAACGUACCAACUUGGUCUCCGCAUAAUGCUUUCGAGAUGUUUCCAGGCUGAAGAAGAUUAAAGACCACAACUGUACCAAAGUAAAUUGAUUUAGUUCGUAUGAGAUGGUCUUAGAUGUAACCUUGGAUUUAGAAACUUAUAAUAAAAAUUCAGGAACAUGGAAUACAAACAUGAAGUAUGGUUUGACAAGAAUACCAACCCGGAAUGCCAUUUUCUUCACAGAAGGUCAAUGACAUCAUGUCCAUGGUUGUGGCACCUCUCGAGACUAGAUCUCGAAAGGAGAUGUGUUCAAAUGUAGCAUUGUUGUCCUGGGAAUGACAGUCAUAAACACCAUCGACAUUCGUACCUUUAACAACUGCCUCGGCAUGAACUGAAGAGAAAGUAGUAGUAGUAGUAGUAGUAGACAUGUCAAAUGUUGAUAGCCCCAAGAAAAAUGAAAGAAAAAUGUGUUCACAUGUGCACAAGUGUUCCGUGUCAGAGAUGUAAAGGGAUCAAAAGGAGAGUGCCAUUAUAGUUCAAGAGAUUGAAUUGAAAGAAAACAGAAAGAGACGGGCAUACUUUCUGAAGCUCGAAGUGCUGCAGCUGUAUCAGUAGAAAAGAGUGGAUUUCCAGUGCCGGCACCAAUGCCACCAAAUAUUACAACUCUACCUUUUUCAAGAUGACGUAUGGCCCGUACCCGGCUGUACGGUUCUGCCUCUUGCACAGAAAAUGCCGUUUGCACACGGGCCUGAACACCCAUCUUCUCCAACAACGAUUGCAGUAGUAUAGAAUUCAUCACAGAUGCCAUCAUGCUGCAGUAUAUUGCAGAAUCAUGGCUUUGAUUAGUUUCAUAACACAAUAUGAACAUGCAAGUGCAUAAACAAAUUUAUUUGGAAGCAACACGACCACCAUAGUAAACUUCAAGGAACUACUUCUGGUAUUGUUAACCCAUUAAGAUUGAAAGUCCAGAUAACAAACGGAUUCAUUAGCUCCUGUUUUUUUCUUUUGACCCACCCCAUCAUUUUCAAUGUUUAUUCGAUAUAACAUGCCUACGUUUCUCCAACUCUUCAUUUUUCCUGAGGUAUCCAUACCCGAAACAUAUUCAAACAUGAUAUGGGGAUAUGAUCCUCCCUCCAAAUACAUAAAAAAACAUGAAAACAUUAAGCAUACUCGUGUUAAACAUGUAUCCAUGUCCAACACUUAAACCCGAACCCGAGUAAUAUAGUAUAACAUACAACAAGCUUGCGAGCAUAUAUAUUAUGUAUAACACCCAACUAAAGUCAUUUCUGGAAACAACCGAGAAGUAUUGGUUUAUAAUCAUAACCCGAAGAACUAUAAAACUAUCAAAGACACCUAUAUAUCAAGCAAGCCUAGUUUUACAGCCUCAUCAUAGGUUUAACCAUUAGACUCAAUUUAUAUUCAACAUUAAACAAAAGUUGGUUUGCAGACAUUACCCAAUUUGAUAUGCAGUACUUCUAUCUAAACCGGUAGCUCCAACCCACGUGUCUCCGCAAAAGAAAUUGCGACCUCCAACAACGAUUGCUACCUUGAAUAUCACCCAAAAGAAUUGCAUCUUAAAAGAAUUGCAAACAUCCGCAAUCAUAAGAGAUAAAAAGGCAGUAACAACUACCUCUACACCGAGGCGGCAAGCAAUUGCAACUUCCCUAGCAAUCAGCACCGCCACCUGAUAAUGAGAAAAAAACAGCAUAUUAGAGAAUGCAAUUCAACAACCAUAUUGUCACAAUUCCAAACUUUAUAUAAGAAACUCAUGGUGAACCUUGGGGUCGAUAUUGGGAGGACCGGUGCAAGCAAGAGCGGCACCGCUAAUUUUGAAUACCACUCUGCGCCAUUUAGGACUUUUUGAUUUCAUGGUAAUCAUCUGACCUACAGGGUUUGGUGCAGCUGAAGUAUAUCUGCUGAUCAAACAACCACGAAUGCAUCUCUAUCGUUAUGAAAAGAACAAAUAUACAAAACAAGAUCUUUAAUCACAAACUAGGGCAUCAACAUUUUCAUUACAAGCCCUAGUCAAGAACAAUAUCAAAAGAUAGAACCCUUCAAAUACAAAUUUACUAAAAUGAAACAAUAAAAUCAAUAGAGACUCAAAUUUCAUUGAAACAACUCGAAAAUAGCAUCAUUUUCAAAUGAACCCCAUAAAAGAGUGAAACUGAGACUAAUAAAACCAACAUUUGAGGUAGUGAGUUUUUUUGGGAGGUCAGACCCUCAACAAGUCCUUUAUUGUCCCUAGUCGAGGUUCUGUCUCCUAACUUUGUCAAAAGCAUUGGCAGAUUCACAGAAUCAGAGUGCCUCAAAGCGUCUGAACAAGCAAACCGUGGAAACUGAAAAAUUGGCGCACAAUUGAACUCGACCCCACGACCUAAAACACAUACUCCUCAGUUUUCACAGUUCACCUGUUAAGGCACUCCAAAACACUCAUUUGUGAGCCUGCCAAAGCUCUUCGCGGUGUUGGAAGAUAAUACCCCGAUUGGAGACAAUACCAGACUUGUUGAGAGUCCAACCCCUCAACAAGUUUGAUUGUUGAUAACUAUAAUUAACAGUCUAGCAGUUGCUGGCAAAUAUUAGCAACAGAUUCUAAGUGGAAGCAGAUAUGAAUCUAUGAAUGUCUCGAAAUCUACAUUACUUAUAUGGACAACGGAUUAAGAAACCCAAAUUUCAUUAUUCGAGUUUGCUUUACUUUUUUGCGAUUUGAAUAUCCUGAACAACCAUUUGUCUAAAUUUACUCCCUAACCUUGAGAAACAUUAGCAAAAUAAUAACCAUAAACGUAAAUGGAAUCAAAAUUAUACCUUUUGGAUUGUCUAACAACGGUUCCCGGAGAAGCGCUACCCUUAUCUUCUUCAACCACCGCCUUUGCAGGCAGAGAAUUACCAACAAUCUCUUCCAUUUUCUUAAACCAAGGCCAAUGACUCGCCGUGAUGCCACCAUCACUCAUCCUAUGCCUCUCAAGCUUAUACCGUUUCUUCAGAUUAUCAACCUUGUUCUUGCACUGCUCCACACUCUUGCUCUGCUUCUCGCACCGCUCGCUAACCGCCGCCGCCACCUCUUCCCAAUCCCUUCCUCUAAGAUUCCCCCUGUUCAGCUGCGUUAACUUCUCCAUAUACGCCUCCAACAAACACCCGAUCGCGGCAUCGCUCCAUUCUUCUCUGUCUUUCCGGUACUCAGUCGCCGCCGAUUGCUUCGAUCUCUUCAAAACUCCAUCGUUUAUCUCUUCUUGGUCCCUCCUCUUCUCGAUCCGUACAUCGGAGGACGUCGCGUUACUACUGUUGUUGUUAACGAAGUUGGCUCCGCGGAAAGCAGAAUCAGAGUCAUCAUCGCCGUUGUGGUUAUCGGGUGGCGGCGCGUGGACCUGCGCGUAAGAAUGGUGGUGGUGGAGAACGUGGUGGUGGCUAGGGUUAGUUUCGUGGUCGUCGAUGAGAGAGAACUCGUCGUCAACGGAAGAGGCCAUAGGCGGACGUUACGGACGGAAGACGUUAGGGGAGGAAGAAGAGGAGACAGUAGGGGGGGUUGAUGGUUUUGACGGAACAUGAUGAGCCGUGACGGUUCCGUUAAGUACUGAGGGAAAGAAGGAAAAUGGAUCGGGCACGUGUGUGGGACCUGUGUGGGUAUAGGUCGGGUUAGAUUCGAUUUGACAAAUUUGGGCCAUUUUGGAGACAGCCAAUUAAUUGGGUUUAUGGGCCUCUCAUCGAAGUUCUGACCCAGGCAAAGAGUUUAUAAGGAUAAAUUAUAUCUAAUGUUUAUUAAACUAUUGACAAGUUUAUGUUUUAAUCACUUUACUUCGUGUAAAGUUAUAAAAUGGUCACUACAUCAUGCAAAGGUUUUCAUUUAAACCACGGAACUGUUAAAAUUGUUAGCAUAUGGCUUGCACCAAUCGAAAACACUCCUUUUCUUUCUGUUCUCUCAUCUUUGACACUAAUUGACAAAUUGACCUGGAUCUAAAAUAUAUUUUUCUAAUCAUCAAUAAAUAUUCAACAGUGCCGAUCAUUAAAUUAUCAUUUAGAGCUCGCUAACUAGAUUUAAGAAAAAUGUAACAACUUAGUAACUUAAAUAAAAUUUUUUGAAUAAUUUAAUAAAUGAAAACUUUCAAAUAAUUAAAUGAUGAUUUUAUAACUUUUUAAAAUUGAGUGACCAAAACAUAGGGCUGUAAAUGAAUCAUCUUCAACAAACAAACCUAUGUUCAUGUUUGUUUAUUUGUUUUUAAGCUUGUUCGUGUUCAGUCUGUGUUCUUGUCCAUGUUCGUUUAUUUAAAAUCAUAUGUGUUAAUAUUCAUUUGUUUAAUGUUCACGAACAUGUUCAUUUAACUUAAUCAAACAUAUUCACAAACAUUAAACAAACAUGUUCGUAAACAAAUAAUUAAACAUAUUCAGGAAUAAUGUUAAUGAAUAACAAACAAACAAACAAACAAUAAAUACAAACAAACAAAAAUUUUGUUCAUACUCAUUUAUUUAACUUAAUAAAUGAGGAUAAACAACUGUUGUACGAACAGUUCACGAACAAUUCAUCUAACGUUCUAUUCAUUUACACCCCUAUCAAAACAUAAUUUAAGUAUAAUAAAAUAUAUCAAGGUUUUAUGUUUUAUUUUUAGAUUUAAAAUAUCCUUCAUACACGUACUCAAGCUUAUAAAUAUUUUAUAUUGAAAAUUCAAUUUAAUUAAUUCGAAUUGAUAAAUCAACGACAUAACUUCUUUAAAUUAAAAAAAAAUCCAUAAAAUUACUUGAUAACUUGAAUUCAACAUGAGGUCAUGGUAUAUAAUAAGCAUAAAAUAAAAAACAACAUAACCAAAAAGCCAAUUCAUAUCGUACAAGGCUUUCAUUAAAUUUGAAAAUACUACCUAUUUUCUCAGGGUAGGGAAAAAGGGGAAAAUAACCUAGCCACUCAACGCUUUCCGCCGCCGCCGAGCUUGGCACCUUUUGGUGCACCACCCUUAGGAAUGUUACCUUUGCCCUGCGUCUUUUGUUGCUUCGCCGCUACUUCGGCUUUCUUUGCUUUCUUUUCAUCCUUGGUUUUCUUGAUCCUUUCCUUGAUUUCUCUGCACAAUAGGCGGUGUUAUAAACAUCAAAAUUCAGCAACGAGAAAGAUGAAAGAACAAAUGAAAGUGAAACAUCAAAGGAAGAAACCACACACCGGAGUGCAGCUUCCCGAGCAGCGUCACGAACUUCAGGUUUCUCGCUCCUCUUCUUUUGGAUAACCUCUAAGGUGGCACCGACGAUGGAUCUGGAGUAUGGCUUCUUUGUGGCACGUCUCCUCUUCUUAACGGCCUCUUG
rnacentral:lncRNA from 1 species